rnacentral:rRNA from 1 species
CCGCAUAAGACCACAGUGUCGCAUGGCACAGGGGUCAAAGGAUUUAUCCGCUGAAAGAUGGGCUCGCGUCCGAUUAGCUAGAUGGUGAGGUAACGGCCCACCAUGGCGACGAUCGGUAGCCGGACUGAGAGGUUGAACGGCCACAUUGGGACUGAGACACGGCCCAGACUCCUACGGGAGGCAGCAGUGGGGAAUAUUGCACAAUGGGGGAAACCCUGAUGCAGCGACGCCGCGUGGAGGAAGAAGGUCUUCGGAUUGUAAACUCCUGUCCCAGGGGACGAUAAUGACGGUACCCUGGGAGGAAGCACCGGCUAACUACGUGCCAGCAGCCGCGGUAAAACGUAGGGUGCAAGCGUUGUCCGGAAUUACUGGGUGUAAAGGGAGCGCAGGCGGAUUGGCAAGUUGGGAGUGAAAUCUAUGGGCUCAACCCAUAAAUUGCUUUCAAAACUGUCAGUCUUGAGUGGUGUAGAGGUAGGCGGAAUUCCCGGUGUAGCGGUGGAAUGCGUAGAUAUCGGGAGGAACACCAGUGGCGAAGGCGGCCUACUGGGCACUAACUGACGCUGAGGCUCGAAAGCAUGGGUAGCAAACAGGAUUAGAUACCCUGGUAGUCCAUGCCGU